rnacentral:rRNA from 1 species
GAUGAACGCUGGCGGCGUGCCUAAUACAUGCCAGUCGAGCGAACAGACGAGGAGCUUGCUCCUCUGACGUUAGCGGCGGACGGGUGAGUAACACGUGGAUAACCUACCUAUAAGACUGGGAUAACUUCGGGAAACCGGAGCUAAUACCGGAUAAUAUAUUGAACCGCAUGGUUCAAUAGUGAAAGACGGUUUUGCUGUCACUUAUAGAUGGAUCCGCGCCGCAUUAGCUAGUUGGUAAGGUAACGGCUUACCAAGGCGACGAUGCGUAGCCGACCUGAGAGGGUGAUCGGUCACACUGGAACUGAGACACGGUCCAGACUCCUACGGGAGGCAGCAGUAGGGAAUCUUCCGCAAUGGGCGAAAGCCUGACGGAGCAACGCCGCGUGAGUGAUGAAGGUCUUCGGAUCGUAAAACUCUGUUAUUAGGGAAGAACAAAUGUGUAAGUAACUAUGCACGUCUUGACGGUACCUAAUCAGAAAGCCACGGCUAACUACGUG